rnacentral:rRNA from 1 species
AAUAUUUAUAUAGUAAUUUUAGGAAAAGUAAUUUUAUGUUUAAGUAAUUUUGAUGGGAAAAUUGAUUUUAUUAUAGGGGAGUUUUACAGUGAUGGAUUGAUUAUUAAUUUAUAUAAAGAAUAUUUUAUUUAUAGUACCUUGUGUAUCAGGGUUGAUUAAAUAAUAUGUUAGUAUUAAUUUUUCUCGAAUUUUGAAGAGCUAAAGAGCUAUAAAUUUUAAUGUGGAAUAAUUAUUUAUAAUAGAAUUUUAGGAGUGAAAUUUUAGUCGUUUUAAAAUAUAUCUAGUUUUUUAAGAAAUAAAUUAAAUUUACUAAAUUAGGAGAAUGAUUUUUGUUUGAAAUGAUUUUUAUUAUUUUAGGAAUAUUUACAGGGAUUAGCUUGUAGAUAAAUAUUUAAAGGUGAGGAUAAUAGGAGAAUAUAAUAGGAUUAGAAGUGUUCAUUAUAAGAGUUUGUAAUAAAAAGGUUUUUGUUAAUAGGAUUUAAUUUUUUUUAAGUUAUUUAUUGAAAUGUUUAAGUUAAUUAUAUUUUUGAAGUAAUAAUGAUAAAAUUAGUAUAGUUUUUUGUAUAUUUAGUUUAAUAGCUAAGGUAAUACAAAGGAAUUCGGCAAAUAUGUUUUCUGCCUGUUUAUUAAAAACAUGGUUUUUUGAGAUAAUUUAAGAUUUGACCUGCCCAAUGAGUAGUUAAAUGGCCGCGGUAUUCUGACCGUGCAAAGGUAGCAUAGUCAUUAGUUUUUUAAUUGAAAGCUGGAAUGAAUGGUUUGACAAGAAAAUAGCUGUCUCUGUUUUAAUUUUAUUAGAAUUUUAUUUUUAAGUGAGAAAGCUUAAAUGUUAUUAAGGGACGAGAAGACCCUUUAGAAUUUUAUAUGGAUUUAAAUUGGAAUUUAGAGAAAGAUUUGUUUUUUGUUUAAAUAAAAUAUUUUGUUGGGGUGAUGGAAAAAUUUAGUUAACUUUUUUUUUUAUAUUUUCAUUGAUUAAUGAUUAUUUGAUCCAUAUUUUAUGAUUACAAGAUUAAAUUACCUAAGGGAUAACAGCGUAAUUGAUUCGGAGAGUUCAAAUCGAUGAAUUAGUUUGCGACCUCGAUGUUGGAUUAAAAUAAAUGGUUGGUGUAGGGGCUGAUUAGUUAAGUCUGUUCGACUUUUAAAAUUUUACAUGAUCUGAGUUUAAACCGGCGUGAGCCAGGUUGGUUUCUAUCUUUAAUUGGAUGAGAUAUUUUAGUACGAAAGGAUCAAGUAUCUUCUAAAUUAGGUUUUUUCUGAU